rnacentral:rRNA from 1 species
UGAGGAAUAUUGGUCAAUGGGCGGAAGCCUGAACCAGCCAUGCCGCGUGAAGGAUGAAGGUGUUCUGCGUUGUAAACUUCUUUUAUAAGGGAAGAAACCUACGAUUCCUAUUGUAGCCGACGGUACCUUAUGAAUAAGCACCGGCUAACUCCGUGCCAGCAGCCGCGGUAAUACGGAGGGUGCAAGCGUUAUCCGGAUUUACUGGGUUUAAAGGGUGUGUAGGCGGGCUGUUAAGUCAGUGGUGAAAUCUCUGGGCUCAACCCGGAAACUGCCAUUGAUACUAUCAGUCUUGAAUUCUGUUGAGGUAGGCGGAAUACAUCAUGUAGCGGUGAAAUGCUUAGAUAUGAUGUAGAACACCGAUGGUGAAGGCAGCUCACUAAGCAGCGAUUGACGCUGAGGCACGAAAGCGUGGGGAUCAAACA